rnacentral:rRNA from 1 species
GAUGAACGCUGGCGGCGUGCCUAAUACAUGCAAGUCGAGCGAACGGACGAGAAGCUUGCUUUUCUGAUGUUAGCGGCGGACGGGUGAGUAACACGUGGAUAACCUACCUAUAAGACUGGGAUAACUUCGGGAAACCGGAGCUAAUACCGGAUAAUAUUUUGAACCGCAUGGUUCAAAAGUGAAAGACGGUCUUGCUGUCACUUAUAGAUGGAUCCGCGCUGCAUUAGCCAGUUGGUAAGGUAACGGCUUACCAAGGCAACGAUGCAUAGCCGACCUGAGAGGGUGAUCGGCCACACUGGAACUGAGACACGGUCCAGACUCCUACGGGAGGCAGCAGUAGGGAAUCUUCCGCAAUGGGCGAAAGCCUGACGGAGCAACGCCGCGUGAGUGAUGAAGGUCUUCGGAUCGUAAAACUCUGUUAUUAGGGAAGAACAUAUGUGUAAGUAACUGUGCACAUCUUGACGGUACCUAAUCAGAAAGCCACGGCUAACUACGUG